rnacentral:lncRNA from 11 species
UUGUUGUGAAAGACCACGUGGAUCCAGAAUAGCUCUCUACCAUAGUCAUACUGGAAAUAAGUCCAAAGAUGCCUCCACUGAAACAGACAAGCUCUUAAGACCUCAUUUACAAAAUUCAUUGCAAUGCAAAAAGAAGAAGCAGCAGAAGACCUCCAAGUGACCCCGUGAAGAAAAUGACAAUGUCUAGGUGGCCCUCUAGUGGCAAAAUAUAUUAAGCAGGAACAUCUGCAUCCAGGAAGAAAGGAAAGACAUUUUUUCAUGAACUAUGUUUUUUAAAUUGCUUUAUCAUAUUAUCUGUCAGUUGAUUAAUAAUUUCUUUGGGAGGAAUCUACGAAAAUUUGU